UACAGAGGGUGCGAGCGUUAAUCGGAAUUACUGGGCGUAAAGCGCGCGUAGGCGGCUUUGCAAGUCGGGUGUGAAAUCCCCAGGCUUAACCUGGGAACUGCAUUCGAGACUGCAUUGCUAGAGUAUGGGAGAGGGAAGUGGAAUUUCCGGUGUAGCGGUGAAAUGCGUAGAUAUCGGAAGGAACAUCAGUGGCGAAAGCGACUUCCUGGACCAAUACUGACGCUCAUGUGCGAAAGCGUGGGGAGCAAACA
rnacentral:rRNA from 1 species